rnacentral:rRNA from 1 species
UCCGUAGCCGGUCUUGUGCAUCCCCUGUGAAAUUGCCAGGCUUAACCGUAACAGCGUGCAGGGGACACGGCAAACCUUGAGACCGGGAGGGGUCAAAAGUAUUCCUUAGGGACCGGUAAAAUGGUAUAAUCCAAGGAGGACCACCUGUGGCGAAGGCGUUUUGACUAGAACGGAUCUGACUGUGAGGGACGAAAGCCAGGGGAGCAAACCGGAUUAGAUACCCGA